CCGUACUUGACUCUAGUUGACUGAUUGUACUAAAAACACAAAAAUGAUAAGAUAUAACAUCACUGUGGGUAAAAGGGGUUUUAUUGGUUUUACUUACAAUAAUUUUGAUUGAAUAAAUAUGUAGUAACAUGCAAAUCAAAACUAUUUUACCGAAAAUUGUUGCACUGGUAAUAGGUGCUGGAUGCCUGGAUACACUGAUAUAUAUAAAUGGGU